rnacentral:rRNA from 1 species
GAUCAUGGCUCAGGAUGAACGCUAGCGGCAGGCUUAACACAUGCAAGUCGAGGGGUAACAGAGGAGCUUGCUCUUGCUGACGACCGGCGCACGGGUGCGUAACGCGUAUACAAUCUGCCUUACACUAAGGGAUAGCCCAGAGAAAUUUGGAUUAACACCUUAUAGUUUAUUUUUAUGGCAUCAUUUAAAUAAUAAAGUUUACGGUGUAAGAUGAGUAUGCGUCCCAUUAGUUUGUUGGUAAGGUAACGGCUUACCAAGACUACGAUGGGUAGGGGCCCUGAGAGGGGGAUCCCCCACACUGGUACUGAGACACGGACCAGACUCCUACGGGAGGCAGCAGUGAGGAAUAUUGGACAAUGGAGGAGACUCUGAUCCAGCCAUGCCGCGUGCAGGAAGACGGUCCUAUGGAUUGUAAACUGCUUUUAUACAGGAAGAAUAAGGACUACGUGUAGUCUGGUGACGGUACUGUAAGAAUAAGGACCGGCUAACUCCGUGCCAGCAGCCGCGGUAAUACGGAGGGUCCGAGCGUUAUCCGGAAUUAUUGGGUUUAAAGGGUCCGUAGGCGGGCUGUUAAGUCAGGGGUGAAAGUUUGCAGCUCAACUGUAGAAUUGCCUUUGAUACUGAUGGUCUUGAAUUAUUGUGAAGUGGUUAGAAUAUGUAGUGUAGCGGUGAAAUGCAUAGAUAUUACAUAGAAUACCGAUUGCGAAGGCAGAUCACUAACAAUUGAUU